rnacentral:misc_RNA from 1 species
AUUGAAAGUAAUGUUUCAUCUGAAUCUAGCUCGUGUGGUAGUUCAACAUCAGUUUCAAAGGAUCCUGUCCAUGAAACUUGGCCUCUUCACCGCAAAAAGAUACGCAAAGUUGUAAUUAGGAGAGAAAAGAAGGCUCGAAAGAAAGAGGAAAACUUUGAAAGAGCCCUUCUAAUUGUCAAUACCAGGACAAGGGUUGAUGUGGCAUGGCAGGAUGGAACGAUAGAACGUGGACUGGAAUCGACAAUGUUGAUCCCAAUUGAUAGUCCCGGUGAUCAUGAAUUUACUUCUGAACAGUAUGUGGUGGAGAAGUCCUCUGAUGAUAUCGAUAAUGCUUCUGAAGCUAGACGUGUUGGAGUUGUGAAAAGUGUUAAUGCAAAAGAGCGAACAGCAUGUGUAAGGUGGUUAAAGCAAGUUACCAGGGCAGAAGAUCCUCGCGAGUUUGACAAAGAGGAAAUUGUAAGUGUGUAUGAGCUAGAGGGACAUCCAGAUUAUGAUUACUCCUAUGGGGAUGUGGUUGUUCGAUUAGCCNUCAGUAUCUGCACGAGUUACCUCUGACGGAGAGUCUGUUGGAGAACUAAAGCGGAAAGCUGCACCAAAUGAUACUGUAAAUGUGAAAAAACGCUCAGGAAGUAAGAAAGAAGAUGAUGAAUCCACUGGUGAAGCUUGUAUGGAUUUCUCAGAUCUCUCUUGGGUUGGAAAUAUAACUGGUCUGAGAAAUGGGGAUAUUGAGGUCACGUGGGCUGAUGGGAUGGUUUCAACGGUUGGACCUCAAGCAAUCUUUGUUGUUGGUCGAGAUGAUGAUGAUGAUGACUCAAUUGCAGCUGGGAGUGAAUUAAGUGAUGAUGCAGCUAGUUGGGAAACAGUUGAUGAUGAUGAGAUGGAUGCCCUUGAGAAUGUUCAAGAGGAAGUUGGGCUACGAAAUGCUGCUGAUGUGAACUCUGACGCAGAAGAGACUGUGGGGAAUAAUAAUUCUGGAAGAAAUCCAGCACUUUCUCUCCCUUUGGCUGCACUUGGCUUUGUUACAAGACUGGCCACUGGAAUCUUCUCAAGAGGACGAAAAAAUGUAGAUUCAGAUUUUUCUGAAUCCAGGGGUGAAAAUGGACUUCAGACAGAUGGAGUAAAGAAUAUUUCUGAGGGAAGGGAUUCUGCUUAUGAGACAAACGCUCAGAAAUUUAAUGUCCUAGAUAAUGGGGGUGUGCAAAGUAGUCAUGGUAAAGUAGAGGAACAGGCUGUUGUGGGCUUGGAGGUGCCAAUAUCAUCAGAUGCAGCAGAAACUUUAUGCAAUUUGAGCACAGAUAAAUCAGAUCCUCCAACAUGUUUUGAGGAUGACACUUGCAGUUUCAAACGCUUUGAUAUAGCUAAAGAUCCUCUGGACCAUUAUUUUCUUGGUUCAACUGCACAGAUUAACAAUGGAAGGAAGUGGCUCAAGAAGGUUCAGCAAGAUUGGAACAUUCUUCAGAACAACUUGCCUGAUGGGAUCUAUGUACGAGUUUAUGAAGAUCGAAUGGAUCUCUUAAGGGCAGUAAUUGUUGGGGCAUAUGGAACGCCCUAUCAAGAUGGACUAUUCUUUUUUGAUUUUCACCUUCCACCAGAGUAUCCAGAUGUGCCACUGUCAGCAUAUUACCAUUCUGGUGGUUGGCGAAUAAAUCCGAAUUUGUAUGAGGAGGGCAAGGUGUGCCUUAGCCUUUUAAAUACCUGGACUGGCAGAGGCAAUGAAGUUUGGGAUCCA